AAAUUAAAAGCUAAACUCAUUGUGAAGUGAGGACAGAAAGCCAUGGGUCUUAUAAAGAUUGCCAGGCUGCAAACA
rnacentral:ncRNA from 1 species